AUUGAACGCUGGCGGCAGGCCUAACACAUGCAAGUCGAACGAGUGGCGGACGGGUGAGUAAUGUCUGGGAAACUGCCCGAUGGAGGGGGAUAAGUACUGGAAACGGUAGCUAAUACCGCAUACCAUCGGAUGUGCCCAGAUGGUAUUAGCUUGUAGGUGAGGUAACGGCUCACCUAGGCGACGAUCCCUAGCUGGUCUGAGAGGAUGACCAGCCAAAUGGGAACUGAUACACGGUGCAGACUCCUACGGGAGGAAGCGGUGGGUAAGAUUGCACAAUGGGCGCAUGCCUGAUGCAGCCAUGCCGCGUGUAUGAAGAAGUCCUUCGGGUUGUAAAGUCCUUUCAGCGGGGAGGCGUUACCCGCAGAAGAAGCACCGGCUAACUCCGUGCCAGCAGCCGCGGUAAUAC
rnacentral:rRNA from 1 species